GAUGAGGAACGUAGCGAAAUGCGAUAAGUAAUGUGAAUUGCAGAAUUCAGUGAAUCAUCGAAUCUUUGAACGCACAUUGCGCCCGUCAGUAUUCUGGCGGGCAUGCCUGUUCGAGCGUCAUUACGCCCCUCAAGUCCCCUGUGGACUUGGUGUUGGGGAUCGGCGAGGCUGGUUUUCCAGCACAGCCGUCCCUUAAAUUAAUUGGCGGUCUCGCCGUGGCCCUCCUCUGCGCAGUAGUAAAACACUCGCAACAGGAGCCCGGCGCGGUCCACUGCCGUAAAACCCCCCAACUUUUUAUAGUUGACCUCGAAUCAGGUAGGACUACCCGCUGAACUUAAGCAUAUCAAUAAGCGGAGGA
rnacentral:misc_RNA from 1 species